ACUUUGACAUACCUACAUCAAGACAAUCAAAAUCAAUAGAAAGUAAAAUUCAUAAUGACUUUGUAAAAUCCAAAUAAAAUGUUAUUUAUGGAACUUUAACCUCCAAAAAGCAAUGCUUUUCAAAAAGCAUGUGUUUGUGUAGCUGCUUCCCAAACUGGUGUCUAUACAGAAUAAGAAUCAUCAACAAAUUCCUAGGACUAUUCGGAUUACAUUGUAACUGUGUGACUCCGGCCUGCCUGGCAACCAGAGUGCAAUAAUUAACUGCGUGACUCCGGCCUGCCUGGCAACCAGAGUUCAAUAAUGGUUGAAAACAAGGAAACUUCCGUCGCUAAGAACGUUCUUGAUAUAUGCAAAGGAUCCUGGGAUUUCCUAAGAAGGCUGGCGCAUAAUAUAUGCAUGUGUUCUUGCUUGCCAGGCCUCAAGUGCUUGUUUCGCUUCGAGGUAAAAGGGGACUCCCGUGAUCUUCACGCGCAGCGGUGAUACCGCUAC